AUGAGCCCCAUCUUCAGCUUCCAGAGCCUCCAGCAUUGAAUCAAGAUCUCUCCAUAAAUGGCCCAUCUUGUCACUGCCUAAACUUGGGUGUUCAUGGCAACAAAAUGAGACGCCCUCUUGGGCCCCCAAGGUGCCUCACCCGGAGCUGAUCCCGUGUGCUUUUCUGGGGUUGAUUUUGAGGAUUCCUGGUGAUGCUCUUCUUGGUCCCCACAGCAGUUUUCUCCCCAAGGAGAGGCUGAUGUGCCCACAUAACCUUGCUUCACCUGCAAGGUCACAGUUUCCAUUGUCUGUGCUUGACUGUGGGCAGCACCUCCAGGAGCCUCACAACUGAAAACAAAUACAGAACCUGCUGAUGUAACAUGGAUGGUCGUUGGCUCGUUCCAUCCUAAAGACUAUAAAUCCAUGUGAUGUACAGUAUACAGCACAGCAUUGAGCAAAAUAGUACUGAUUUAUGUAAUUGGAAA